UCGGAGAAGACUAACAGGAUUCCCCUAGUAACUGCGAGUGAAGCGGGAAGAGCUCAAAUUUAAAAUCUGGCAGUCUCUGGCUGUCCGAGUUGUAAUUUAGAGAAGUGUUGCCCGCGCUGGACCGUAUACAAGUCCUCUGGAAUGAGGCGUCAUAGAGGGUGAGAAUCCCGUCUUUGAUACGGACUACCAGUGCUUUGUGGUGCGCUCUCGAAGAGUCGAGUUGUUUGGGAAUGCAGCUCAAAAUGGGUGGUAAAUUCCAUCUAAAGCUAAAUAUAGGCGAGAGACCGAUAGCGAACAAGUACCGUGAGGGAAAGAUGAAAAGAACUUUGGAAAGAGAGUUAAACAGUACGUGAAAUUGCUGAAAGGGAAACGCUUGAAGUCAGUCGCGUCGUUCAAGAAUCAACCUUGCUUUUGCUUGGUGUACUUUUUGUUCGACGGGUCAGCAUCAGUUUUGACCAUUGGAUAAGGGCCAAGGAAAUGUGGCAUCUUCGGAUGUGUUAUAGUCUUUGGUCGUAUACAGUGGUUGGGACUGAGGAACUCAGCACGCCGCAAGGACGGGUCUUUGACUACGUUACGUGCUUAGGAUGCUGGCAUAAUGGCUUUAAUCGACCCGUCUUGAAACACGGACCAAGGAGUCUAACAUGCCUGCGAGUGUUUGGGUGGAAAACCCGAGCGCGCAAUGAAAGUGAAAGUUGAGAUCUCUGUCAUGGAGAGCAUCGACGCCCAUACCUGAUGUUUACUGACGGAUAUGCGGUAGAGCAUGUAUGUUGGGACCCGAAAGAUGGUGAACUAUGCCUGAAUAGGGUGAAGCCAGAGGAAACUCUGGUGGAGGCUCGUAGCGAUUCUGACGUGCAAAUCGAUCGUCGAUUUGGGUAUAGGGGCGAAAGACUAAUCGAACCAUUUUUGUACUUUGGUGGUUAAGAGGCUACUGAAAAGGUUUAGCUAUGGGAAGAGUUGAGGUCUU
rnacentral:rRNA from 1 species